rnacentral:rRNA from 1 species
AGUGAACGCUGGCGGUAGGCCUAACACAUGCAAGUCGAACGGCAGCACAGUAAGAGCUUGCUCUUACGGGUGGCGAGUGGCGGACGGGUGAGGAAUACAUCGGAAUCUACUUUUUCGUGGGGGAUAACGUAGGGAAACUUACUCUAAUACCGCAUACGACCUACGGGUGAAAGCAGGGGAUCUUCGGACCUUGCGCGAUUGAAUGAGCCGAUGUCGGAUUAGCUAGUUGGCGGGGUAAAGGCCCACCAAGGCGACGAUCCGUAGCUGGUCUGAGAGGAUGAUCAGCCACACUGGAACUGAGACACGGUCCAGACUCCUACGGGAGGCAGCAGUGGGGAAUAUUGGACAAUGGGCGCAAGCCUGAUCCAGCCAUACCGCGUGGGUGAAGAAGGCCUUCGGGUUGUAAAGCCCUUUUGUUGGGAAAGAAAAGCAGCAGGUUAAUACCACGCUGUUCUGACGGUACCCAAAGAAUAAGCACCGGCUAACUUCGUG